rnacentral:rRNA from 1 species
GACGAACGCUGGCGGCGUGCCUAAUACAUGCAAGUCGAGCGAAGUUUUUCUGGUGCUUGCACUAGAAAAACUUAGCGGCGAACGGGUGAGUAACACGUAAAGAACCUGCCUCAUAGACUGGGACAACUAUUGGAAACGAUAGCUAAUACCGGAUAACAGUAUUUCUCGCAUGAGAGAUAUUUAAAAGUUGGUUAUGCUAACACUAUGAGAUGGCUUUGCGGUGCAUUAGCUAGUUGGUGGGGUAAAGGUCCACCAAGGCGACGAUGCAUAGCCGACCUGAGAGGGUGAUCGGCCACACUGGGACUGAGACACGGCCCAGACUCCUACGGGAGGCAGCAGUAGGGAAUCUUCCGCAAUGGGCGAAAGCCUGACGGAGCAACGCCGCGUGAGUGAAGAAGGAUUUCGGUUCGUAAAGCUCUGUUGUUAGGGAAGAAUGGAUAUGUAGUAACUAUACAUGUAAGAGACGGUACCUAACCAGAAAGCCACGGCUAACUACGUG